rnacentral:sRNA from 1 species
GCCCCGCCCUCUGCCCCUUUUGGGGAACCUUCUGCAGAUGGACAGAAGAGGCCUACUCAAAUCCUUUCUGAGGUUCCGAGAGAAAUAUGGGGACGUCUUCACGGUACACCUGGGACCGAGGCCCGUGGUCGUGCUGUGUGGAGUACAGGCCAUACGGGAGGCCCUGGUGGACAAGGCUGAGGCCUUCUCUGGCCGGGGAAAAAUCGCCAUCAUGGACCCAGUCUACCAGGGAUAUGGUGUGAUCUUUGCCAAUGGAAACCGCUGGAAGGUGCUUCGGCGAUUCUCUGUGACCACCAUGAGGGACUUCGGGAUGGGAAAGCAGAGUGUGGAGGAGCGGAUUCAGGAGGAGGCUCAGUGUCUGAUAGAGGAGCUUCAGAAAUCCAAGGGAGCCCUCAUGGACCCUACCUUCCUCUUCCAUUCCAUUACCGCCAACAUCAUCUGCUCCAUCGUCUUUGGAAAACGCUUCCACUACCAAGAUCAAGAGUUCCUGAAGAUGCUGAACUUGUUCUGCCAGAGUUUCUCACUCAUCAGCUCUAUAUCCAGCCAGAUGGAGUCUCGCUUUCUCAGCCAGGCUGGGGUGGAGUGGUGCCAUCUCGGCUU